GAUGGCUUGAGUCGCUUGACCUCACACUUUCCCUCCCCAAUUUUAAAACCUGCUCACUUCCUGACUGGCUGACUCUCUAAACCAAAACCAAAACAAAAACAAAGAUUAUUCGAAAGAAGAAGAGACUCCAGUGACUCAUCACAAUCUAAUUCAUCGCCGUCACCUUCACAGUUUCCGUCUAUUUUGUCUUCGGUUAUCGGUCCGGCGAGGCCGAUCCGAUUUGUGUACUACGAUGAGAAAGGAAAAUUCCGGAUGGAUCCUGGGCAGUCGCGGCGAUCCAGCUCAUCAAUGAGCCCAUUGGUGUAAUUUCUGUCUGCGCGGUCGCGCUCGCCAGGGUCGUUGGCCCUUGUGAUGUUCACAGGUUGAACAUAUUGCUCAUGUCUGGUUUGAGCUCCUUGGGAGGAGUGGUGGAUUUCAAGUAGCAUCAACCUACAGCCCAUGUACGAAAGGACUAUGGUUGUGAAGUUCACCUUUGUAGAGAAGUGCGCUUGAUGGAACUAAGUACAAUGUUUUACUAUUAGAUAGUGAAGAUGGGUGGAAUCGAUGAAGCUGCCCUUGAUUGUAUUUCUUUGGUCACUCAAAUGACAAAGCAUGUACGUGUGAGAGCCACAGGAGGAAGGACUAUGGCUUCUGAACUUGGGCAGUUCUCCCCAAUUUUUGUUUGGCUUCUAAGGGACUUAUAUUUGGAUUUGGUAGAGGACAAUGGUAGAAUAACCCCCGUGACUACUUAGAGAUUGCAUUAAGUCUUCCUUACGUCAUGAAUGUUUUCAUGAAUGCUUCAAGGAAAGAAAUGAGCUUGUGAUUUCUAAUUAACUAGUUAGCGUGAACCAUGUGGAGACCAUGGUUGGCAGCGAAAGCAGAGACAACAACGUGAUUAGAAGAGCUAAGACAAAGGAUAAGCUGGUAAGAGCAGAGUUAGCAUUUCCAGCUUGAUGGAAGCAGUGCCGGCAAGGGAGUCUUCUUGUUGAGCUUGGUUGUCAUUGUCACUAGCUUAGCUUCCCUGGUUGGCACGGCUAAGCAAGCAAACCAGACCAUGAUCAGGUGGAAAUUGGUUUUAGAAUUUCAACUUAUAUUUGAAAAUUGAUUUGAGAUAAUUGACAAAGAAAGAAAAUAAUAGGUUUUUUCAACGGGACGAAGAUUGGUGAA